rnacentral:rRNA from 1 species
AGAGUUUGAUCCUGGCUCAGAAUGAACGCUGGCGGCGUGCUUAACACAUGCAAGUCGCACGAGAACGCUUCAGCUUGCUGAAGUUAGUAAAGUGGCGCACGGGUGAGUAACGCGUGGGUAAUCUACCUCCGGAUCGGGGAUAACAUUGCGAAAGCGAUGCUAAUACCGGAUAAUAUCUCUUGAACCUCGGUUUUCGAGAUCAAAGGUGGCCUCUCCUUGGAAGCUUCUGUUUGGGGAUGAGCCCGCGUACCAUUAGCUUGUUGGUAGGGUAACGGCCUACCAAGGCUGCGAUGGUUAGCUGGUCUGAGAGGAUGAUCAGCCACACUGGAACUGACACACGGUCCAGACUCCUACGGGAGGCAGCAGUGAGGAAUUUUGCGCAAUGGGGGAAACCCUGACGCAGCAACGCCGCGUGAGUGAUGAAGGCUUUCGGGUCGUAAAGCUCUGUCAAGUGGGAAGAAAUCACUUGGUGAUAAUACCACCAUGUGUUGACGGUACCACUGAAGGAAGCACCGGCUAACUCCGUGCCAGCAGCCGCGGUAAUACGGGGGGUGCAAGCGUUAUUCGGAAUUACUGGGCGUAAAGCGCGCGUAGGCGGUUUGGCAAGUCAGAUGUGAAAGCCCGGGGCUCAACCCCGGAAGUGCAUUUGAAACUGCUUGACUUGAGUAUGGGAGAGGGAAGUGGAAUUCCUGGUGUAGCGGUGAAAUGCGUAGAUAUCAGGAGGAACACCGGUGGCGAAGGCGACUUCCUGGACCAAUACUGACGCUGAUGCGCGAAGGCGUGGGGAGCAAACAGGAUUAGAUACCCUGGUAGUCCACGCAGUAAACGUUGAACACUAGGUGUAGCGGGUAUUGACCCCUGCUGUGCCGCAGCUAACGCAUUAAGUGUUCCGCCUGGGGAGUACGGCCGCAAGGUUAAAACUCAAAGGAAUUGACGG